AUAUACUCUAAACCUCAGUUUUCAUGUCUGUGAGAUGAGUGUAUUAUUUCAGCUUUUUCUUGUACAUAGGAUGGAAAUGAUGAUUUUGACCUUCUAGACAGUCUUGAUCUCAUGAAUGUCCAUAUUGAGUAACCUAUUGACUGGGCAAAGGUUGUUGCCAUGUGAGAGCAGCACUGGAGUCAAGAGGCCCAUGAACCAGCCAGCACUGCUCUCAGGGAGACUUGGAUUAUGUGAGUUUGUGCAAGGACUGUAGAAUAUCUCCUUAGCAAAAAAAAAAAA